GAUGAACGCUGGCGGCGUGCCUAAUACAUGCAAGUCGAGCGAACGGACGAGAAGCUUGCUUCUCUGAUGUUAGCGGCGGACGGGUGAGUAACACGUGGAUAACCUACCUAUAAGACUGGGAUCACUUCGGGAAACCGUAGCUAAUACCGGAUAAUAUUUUGAACCGCAUGGUUCAAAAGUGAAAGACGGUCUUGCUGUCACUUAUAGAUGGAUCCGCGCUGCAUUAGCUAGUUGGUAAGGUAACGGCUUACCAAGGCAACGAUGCAUAGCCGACGUGAGAGGGUGGUCGGCCACACGGGAACUGAGACACGGUCCAGACUCCUACGGGAGGCAGCAGUAGGGAAUCUUCCGCAGUGGGCGAAAGCCUGACGGAGCAACGCCGCGUGAGUGAUGAAGGUCUUCGGAUCGUAAAACUCUGUUAUUGGGGAAGAACAUAUGUGUAAGUAACUGUGCACAUCUUGACGGUACCUAAUCAGAAAGCCUCGGCUAACUACGUG
rnacentral:rRNA from 1 species